UUUCUAUCCGCCCAAUGAUGAACCGCCUCUGGUAAGCGGCCAGCGACCUCAACCACCUCUUCUCCACCACAUGCAAGUUCCCCUCCGCCUCUCCCUUUUUUCCCUCUCUCUCGCAUGUCGUUUCCAAGUUAGAGUGAACCCUAAUCCUAGCCGUUCCAGUUUGGUUCCACAACACAUCAACCUCAAGAUCCAGACCCCUCGCAAAAAACUGAACACGAUUUGACCUUCCACCUCGUCCCUGAACUCAAGAUCUAUACCCCUUAGCAUCCAUGGUACAAGGUUAUCCAAUACUGAGAUAUGAUUAUCACUCUACUCAAGGGAUCUUGCUACUGGAGCAGGUGCGCAAGGACUCGUGCUGAAAGCGGAGCUGAAAUGGCAGAGGAGAAUGCAGAAGAAGAUGAGGACAUGAUUCUGGUCUUCCUUUGUGAUGUACUGUAUGAUGAAGUAGCAACCUAUGUUUUGGACAUUGCUUAAUAUUUUGGAUCAUACUUUGGAUGAUAAUCUAUGUUUUACUAUGUUAAAUGUGUGUUCAUAGUUCAAAAAGUUGCGAAAA